UGCGAUAAGUAGUGUGAAUUGCAGAAUUCAGUGAAUCAUCGAAUCUUUGAACGCACAUUGCGCCCCUUGGUAUUCCAUGGGGCAUGCCUGUUCGAGCGUCAUUUGUACCUUCAAGCUUUGCUUGGUGUUGGGUGUUUGUCUCGCCUUUGCGUGUAGA
rnacentral:rRNA from 1 species